rnacentral:rRNA from 1 species
CCCCUAGAUGUUCUGGGCCGCACGCGCGCUACACUGGUCGAUGCAACGAGUUUCUUUCCUUGGCCGACAGGCCUGGGCAAUCUUUGAACAUCGAUCGUGAUCGGGAUAGAUUCUUGUAAUUUUUGAUCUUAAACGAGGAAUUCCUAGUAAACGCAAGUCAUCAGCUUGCAUUGAUUACGUCCCUGCCCUUUGUACACACCGCCCGUCGCACCUACCGAUUGAAUGGUCCGGUGAAAUCUCCGGACUGGCGUGAGUCGGAGCAAUCUGACAAACACCGGAAAGUUGAUUAAACCUUACCAUUUAGAGGAAGGUGAAGUCGUAACA